CGUCAUCCUUCAGAUAAAAUGAUCACUUCUAUCAGAAUAAUUUCCUUCCUUAUUUGCAUGUUGUCUGUCCACUCCCAUAUGCGAAUAUAAAGUGCACGAACCUGGAGACUGUUGUCUGUUUUGUUCACUGCUGUAUUCCCCAGCACAGAGAAGACACCCUGGGCCCUAAGAGACUUUAAGAAAUAUUUAUCCAAUGAAUGAGAAGUGAUGGAAGUGAGGAACACUAAACUCAAGUUAGUGGUUACCACUGGAUAAAGGAGAGAAAUAAAACUGCAAGAGGAACACAAGGUACCACCUGUAUCUACAAUACUGUAUCGCCAUAAGAAAACCCUGAUAUAAAACAUGCCAAAAUACUGAGCUCUGGCAAGAAACAAAAAGCAAACAAAUUCAGCCAUAGCUAAAGUCUUUCUUCUAAAGUCCUCCUUGGAUGGGGUGAGAAAGCAAAAACCUUGAAAACAGCAGGAGUCUACUCCUACAUAUGGUGCUUUAAGAAACUGAUGUGUCUUAAAACCAAAGCAAAUCCCAUUAACAGAAUAAAACCCCAGUAUACACUUACAGUGCUGAGAAGAUGAUAUUUAAUGGAAUCCUGUAAGUAGCUACCUUGAAAUUGCCAUCUUGUUCCAAGAAGGUUUCUAGAUUAUUUUAGUAUUUUUAUGUAAAUUUAUAAUACCUUGAAUUCUAAAAGCUGUUUUAUCAAGAAUUUUCCCACUGUGUAGAAUUAGCCUAUUAGGUUUAUUCCAUUUUUACCUCUCUUGUAAAGAUUUAAUACAUAUUUAGUUAUGACCUAAUAAAGACCUUGUACAACAAAACAUACUGAUGCUCAAGUAGCUGCUCUAUUGUGGUGCCAUAAGCAGCACAAAGGGCUUAUUUUGUUCCUGCUUCUGGUUCUGUAUUGGCUCAUUACCAGAGACAUUUAACUCAGAUAGCUAGAUCUACUGUGUGUCCUUUGGUAGACAACAAAUUUUCAAAAGAGGGGGUAAACGCUUAGAUUUUAAAAAGUCCAACAUAUCAUUAUAACUAAAAUAUACAAAUGAAAAUGCAUUUUAAAUCUUUAAAGAGCACAUCUGUGUUAGGUUAUCA
rnacentral:lncRNA from 1 species